UGCAUGCAAGUCACCUUUUGUACAAUUAUGUGUAUCAAAAUACAAAAGGUUGACAAAAGAAGAGACACAUGUUGCCGACUAUGUGUUUGACGAGUCAAAAGAUCCUAGUGAGAUGUUUUGUGCAUAUGGUGGCUAUGGCGUGACACGGGAACAACUUCAAUGCUUAGUAGGGGAGAGCUUCAUUGAUAUUCCGGAAAUAUGUGGUUCAAUGAGCAAGUCUACCUCAAAAUCAACACUCAAGAAAAGAUUAGGUAGCUAUUGUGUUAAUCUUGAAUGUUGCAACCAGUUUUAUAUCCCCUUAUUCCAAUUUAAUGAAUGGGUCAUCAUGGUAAUCAAUU